AACGCACAUUGCGCCCCUUGGUAUUCCAUGGGGCAUGCCUGUUCGAGCGUCAUUUGCACCCUCAAGCUUUGCUUGGUGAUGGGUGUUUGUUCCGCUGCAACGCGUGAACUCGCCUCAAAUCAAUUGGCAGCCGGCAAUCUGGUGUUUGAGCGCAGCACAUUUUGCGCUCUUCGCUGUGUAUUGCGGGCGUCCAUGAAGCCUAUAUUUUCGCGCUUGACCUCGGAUCAGGUAGGGAUACCCGCUGAACUUAA
rnacentral:misc_RNA from 1 species